GCAGGUCACUGUACAUAUCGAAGGCAAAAUAGAAUGCUAUGAAUGCCAGCCUAAACCUGCUCCCAAAAGUUAUCCCGUGUGUACUAUCACAAGUUCUCCAUCAAAGUUUGUUCACUGUAUUGUAUGGGCAAAGGAUCUACUUUUUGCGAAGCUCUUUGGGAACAAAAACCAGGACGAUGAUCUCAAUGUGCGUUCCAGUGAUGCUACUAGCUCAUCAGAGCAUGCAGAAGAUGUUUUUGAACGUAAAAAGGAUGAAGACAUUGAGUAGUACGGGGGGAGAAUAUAUGAUCAUGUUUUCGGUUACAACAUUGAAGUAGCUUUAUCUAACGAAGAGACAUGGAAAAACCGUGCCAGGCCUAAGCCUUUAUACAUUAGAGAUGUCCUGCCUAUCAAACUUAUUCAACAGAAUGGGAAUGCGGACAAAUGUUUUGUGGCUGAUGAUUCAUCAUCUGUGUCUGCUAUGGCAUCUCUAGGGCUGAAGAAUCCGCAAGAUAUAUGGAGCCCGAGGGAAAAUUCAAGAGUAUUGUUUGAGGCGCUAAGAUUGUUUUUUGUGAAAAGAGAGAAGGAAAUUGGUAACUUGAGUUUCGAUAAAGAUGAUCAGUUGGCCGUAGAAUUUGUUACAGGUGCUGCAAACAUCCGGGCUGCUUCCUUUGGUAUUCUUUGGAUAGCCUUUUUGAAGCUAAAGGUAUUGCUGGAAAUAUUAAGGUCCUCUUCAAAAAAUAUCCUUUUCCAAGUUGAAAUUUGCUCAUUAAGGAUCUGAGUUAAAGGUAGCGAAUCCAAGAGGUGGAUGAACAAAAUGGGACUCUCGAUCCAACCUUUUUCUUUUCCUGGAAACUAGUUCAUGCCAUGUUUUGCUUUUUCAAUAGGCGAAACCGUAGAAGCUCAUUGUUUUAAAGUACUUCUCUUCAUUGUUGGUGGGUAACUAGGCACCACACCAAGUUUUCUCGUUUUAGACAAGUAGAGAGAGGUUUCUUCCGUAGAUUUGGUACCUAUAGAUUAGGCGUUACUUCCCUUCAUUUGCAUACAGAGACAUCAACACAUAUUCAAGUCUUUGAGCUGUAUUUCAAUGGAAGGAGCGGUUCGGAAAACCAA